rnacentral:rRNA from 1 species
AACGAACGCUGGCGGCGCGCCUAAUACAUGCAAGUCGAGCGAGAAGACGUAGCAAUACGUUUGUAAAGCGGCGAACGGGUGAGGAAUACAUGGGUAACCUACCCUCGAGUGGGGAAUAACUAGCCGAAAGGUUAGCUAAUACCGCGUACGCUCCUUGGACUUCGGUUCAUGGAGGAAAGCGAUACCGUGGGUAUCGCGCUCUUGGAUGGGCUCAUGUCCUAUCAGCUUGUGGUGAGGUAACGGCUCACCAAGGCUUCAACGGGUAGCUGGUCUGAGAGGACGAUCAGCCACACUGGCACUGCGACACGGGCCAGACUCCUACGGGAGGCAGCAGUAAGGAAUAUUGCGCAAUGGGCGAAAGCCUGACGCAGCGACGCCGCGUGGGGGAUGAAGGUCUUCGGAUUGUAAACCCCUUUCGGGAGGGAAGAUGGAACGAGCAAUCGUUCGGACGGUACCUCCAGAAGCAGCCACGGCUAACUUCGUGCCAGCAGCCGCC